rnacentral:rRNA from 1 species
AAGGUAGCAUAAUAAUAUGUCCAUUAAUUGUGGAAUAGAAUGAAUGGGAAAACGAAAUAAGAUCUGUCUCAAUAAAUUUUAUAUAAACUAUUAUAAAAGUGAAGAAACUUUUAUUCUAUUAAAGGACAAGAAGACCCUAUAGAGCUUUAUCUCUAAAAAUUUCUAAUUUCCACAGAUUCGGUUGGGGCAACCAAGGAAAAUUCAUCCUUUUUUACUAAGAUAUAUUUAUCACAUCAAUGAUCCAAAUAUGAUCCACAAACCAAGCUACCUUAGGGAUAACAGGCUAAUCUUUCUUAAAAGUUCAUAUUAACAGAAGGGAUUGGCACCUCGAUGUUGGCUU